AGACACUCCCUACGUCGAUGCCAAGCUUCAAUAUUAUUUUGUCUUUUUGGAAUAUUAGUAUUAAAAACAGACGCAAAUCUGGUGAAAAUAAUGGUAAUUCUCAAACAAGGUUAUCAUUUCGUAGUGUUUUUCGAACUUGACCAAAACCAUAACUAUCCUCAAACCACAUUAUUAGAUGUUUCUGGUCAUAUUCUAUUUCUAGUUGUUCUUUAAUUUCAGCAAAUAUUGAUGGAAUUUCUUCUGGUGGUAAAAAAACAAGAGCAAGCAAAUUACGGGA